UACGUAGGGGGCUAGCGUUGUCCGGAAUCAUUGGGCGUAAAGAGCGCGUAGGCGGCCCGGUAAGUCCGCUGUAAAAGUCAAAGGCUCAACCUUUGAAUGUCAGUGGAUACUGCCGGGCUAGAGUGCGGAAGAGGCGAGUGGAAUUCCUGGUGUAGCGGUGAAAUGCGCAGAUAUCAGGAGGAACACCUAUUGCGAAGGCAGCUCGCUGGGACGUAACUGACGCUGAGACGCGAAAGCGUGGGGAGCAAACAGG
rnacentral:rRNA from 1 species